rnacentral:rRNA from 1 species
UACAGGGGGGGCAAGCGUUGUUCGGAAUUACUGGGCGUAAAGGGUGCGUAGGUGGCGCUGUAAGUCGGGUGUGAAAUCCUGAGGCUUAACCUCGGAACUGCAUUCGAUACUGCGGCGCUUGAGGACUGGAGAGGAGACUGGAAUUCAUGGUGUAGCAGUGAAAUGCGUAGAGAUCAUGAGGAAGACCAGUGGCGAAGGCGGGUCUCUGGACAGUUCCUGACACUGAGGCACGAAGGCCAGGGGAGCAAACGGG